AGGGGUAUAGCUCAGCUGGUAGAGCGGCGGUCUCCAAAACCGCAGGUCGAGGGUUCGAUCCCUUCUGCCCCUGCCA
rnacentral:tRNA from 1 species